AUUAAAUUAUCAUAAUUAAUGUUUUAAAUUUAGAAUUUAAAUAAGUAAUUUUUAUUACAUUUAA
rnacentral:tRNA from 1 species